GAUGAACGCUGGCGGCGUGCCUAAUACAUGCAAGUCGAGCGAAUGGAUUAAGAGCUUGCUCUUAUGAAGUUAGCGGCGGACGGGUGAGUAACACGUGGGUAACUUGCCCAUAAGACUGGGAUAACUCCGGGAAACCGGGGCUAAUACCGGAUAACAUUUUGAACCGCAUGGUUCGAAAUUGAAAGGCGGCUUCGGCUGUCACUUAUGGAUGGACUCGCGUCGCAUUAGCUAGUUGGUGAGGUAACGGCUCACCAAGGCAACGAUGCGUAGCCGACCUGAGGAGGUGGUCGGCCACGCUGGGACUGAGACACGGCCCAGACUCCUACGGGAGGCAGCAGUAGGGAAUCUUCCGCAAUGGACGAAAGUCUGACGGAGCAACGCCGCGUGAGUGAUGAAGGCUUUCGGGUCGUAAAACUCUGUUGUUAGGGAAGAACAAGUGCUAGUUGAAUAAGCUGGCACCUUGACGGUACCUAACCAGAAAGCCACGGCUAACUACGUGCCAGCCGCCGCCGUAA
rnacentral:rRNA from 1 species